UUUAUUUAAGAAAACACCAGGUUUACUGAAGUUACUAAUUCAUCUUGCCAUUCGGAUGCCAUUAUAUUUGCACCUUUCCUGGACUUUUUUCUCAUGUUAUCGGAUUACCCCUCUUGUCAAGCCCUAUUGGAUAUUGUUUGCUGAUCUUUGGGUGGUCUGUUUUUUUGGACUGCUCUUAUUUUGCCUCUGUUAUACCUGUUUCCUGUUUAUCUACCCAAACUUGUUUUUGGCCAUGUCUUGGAAUAAAGUUGUGCAUACGGA